GACGAACGCUGGCGGCGUGCUUAACACAUGCAAGUCGAACGGAAAGGCCCUGCUUUUGUGGGGUGCUCGAGUGGCGAACGGGUGAGUAACACGUGAGUAACCUGCCCUUGACUUUGGGAUAACUUCAGGAAACUGGGGCUAAUACCGGAUAGGAGCUCCUGCUGCAUGGUGGGGGUUGGAAAGUUUCGGCGGCUGGGGAUGGACUCGCGGCUUAUCAGCUUGUUGGUGGGGUAGUGGCUUACCAAGGCUUUGACGGGUAGCCGGCCUGAGAGGGUGACCGGCCACAUUGGGACUGAGAUACGGCCCAGAGUCCUACGGGAGGCAGCAGUGGGGAAUAUUGCACAAUGGGCGGAAGCCUGAUGCAGAGACGCCGCGUGCGGGAUGACGGCCUUCGGGUUGUAAACCGCUUUCGCCUGUGACGAAGCGUGAGUGACGGUAAUGGGUAAAGAAGCACCGGCUAACUACGUG
rnacentral:rRNA from 1 species